AAGCAUUAGAGCUCUUUUAGAAUUUGUCCAGCACGUUUUCUGAUUUUUACUAGAACUCCCUC
rnacentral:snRNA from 1 species